AUAAAAAAUACAAAAAAGGCUUUUCUUUUCUUUUGUGUUGUUCAGUUACAUGAAGAGACGGAGGUUUUAAAAAUUUAGUUAAAGUAUGGCAGUCCAGGUGGUAAUAUUCUGUUUGUCACAAAACAAGUAGGUACAACCAAACGCAAGUUGCAAGCACAGCAACAGAAACUGGUUCUACAAUUGUUAUGCUCUGCAGUCGUACGUCCUUAAAACCUUACCGCCCUUGAAGCAAAUCAAAGAUUUAUAACGAAUGCAAAGGUAAUCGUUAGACCAGAACUUAAAAUCACAAUUUCCCGUGCUCUAGCAUCAAGAGUAACUGCUCCAGGCCAAACAGCAAAGUCAGCAUCCAACCACCCCUACUCGAAUCGUUCAGCCCUUACUGUUUCCUUCAACAACAACCAGAUGCAACAAAUCAUCAAUUAUCUCGAUUCAACAUCCUUAAUUUGGCGAUCGGCCAACCAUUCUCAGCAUUGAAUCGAUAAAACCGUAGCAGCACCAGCAACAUAACAUAUAGUAGCAGCCAACAACCCCUUAAAAGAGCCAUAUAACAAUUUCAGAUCUAAACCCGCAAAGCAACAUCACGAUCGCUACGUUCUUUGCUCAGAUCAUACAACAAAACUAAAUCCAUCAGCGGCAGUAAAAUUAACAGACUGUUCCAUCAUGACAUGAAGCCGAUUGCGACUGAAAUGCUCCAAGGUGAUCAUAUCACCAAACGUGAAAGGCAAAACAAUUUACAUCGAACUUAUCCAACAUCCUAAAUCAAAAAGGAACGUCGUAUCCCAUCCUAGCCUUAAUUCCUACCAGUUCCCUGCAUGAAAAAGGUAGGGAGCCUUGACAGUACAACUUUUCACAACAGACUUAGCUGCAGCACCAGUUAUUAAGAUUUCUCCCAGAUGAUGACCAUCAUCCAAUGGUCACCAUUAAUAGCGUUAAAACGACGGCGUCACCUCAGGGUUUUAUUCUAAUUUUACAACCUGGUCAACAAUGGCAACCAGUGCAAACGAUCUAAGCCAAUCAGGGACAAACGCAGAAAACCAUUGGCCAACAGUAGCAGCAGCAACAACCAUAUCAGAACAAUCAUCACCCAGAUUCUGCAGAAAAAGAUAUAGCAAACAACAGGAACAGCACCUUCAGACUGUAGUAACCGUAGCAUAGCAUACGAUAUUGUAUCAUACCACGAGCAGGAGGAACUUUUAUUCAGUUGCAGGUGCAGCAAGAUCGAACAGGAACCAUAGUAGGUAUAGAUCCAGCGGACACACCGCUCAACAGCAGCAACAGGGGAUCAUAGUCAACAUCCAGCAGCAGAACGCGGUGAUAAAACAGUAAAUGCAGCAGCAAGGUGCUUGAAAAGGACUUUCUCUUUCGAACAAACAUAAUGGAAGGACACGACAAGUUCAAACGGGCCAACUGUGUGACUCAUUUGGAAAAAGUGCUUCAUCGGUUUCAUGGCAUGAUAUCAAGACAAACCUCGGACUAAUCCGGAAAAUGCAUUAAGUUGAGCGAGAGUCAGGAAAAAGUUCUGCAUGUAUGCGUUGAUGAAGGUGGCGUUCCGAAAUUGCCAUGAGCUGGAUCCGUCUCAGCAACACGAAAUGAGCUCCGUCACAACUGGUAGAGCGCAAAGCGCCGGUAAGCCAACAACAGCUCAACAGAAUUAAGAAGUUAUUCAAUAUUUAGCAUAGCGAAUAGUAAGAAGGUACAAAAGGCUAAGCGCUAAACUGCCGUUAUACACAUAACUGUCUCAUGUGCUUUAUGUAAUGCAUGGGACAAUCAUGCAUAUAGCGGCAGGAAGGUACGAUUAUUUAAAAUGCGUAUAUUAAUAAUUAAAUUUAAUAAUUUAAGUAAUUUUCUUCUAAGAAUAAUCCUCUGUUUUUGUCCUGUAUCGAUAGCGUAUAGGUGAAAUAGGUUCACAAUAUUUAUUGAUCUCAUGUAAUAAACCUAUCCUAUAACACUGCGCUUAUAGGGUAUAUACAACGUCGUUGGUAUAUAUGUAUUAAAAACAAUGCAAGGUAAAUAGAAUUGAAUCGGACACGUAGUUUGAGUACAAUUUAAGCAACGGUCCAAAAUUAUUGUGUUGCAAUACUACAUAAUUUCUCCAAAUUUUGACGAACGUGUUUUAAGUGUACAAGUUGUACGCCAAUGAAAGCGUAAUGAGCCUCUGUUGGCCCUAUUAGGGAGAGGGACAUACUAGUUCGUUAUUUAUUCUGCCUUCGAUAGAAUGCCUAUAAAUUGGCAUCAAUAUCUUUGCUUUGCUCCUAAGUUUUUUGUAUGUAAUAAUGACAUAAUUGAAUAUCAGUGACUGGAUCUGUAUCUGUUGCCAGGAACUGGAUCUUUAUCUUAUUCCUAAGAAUACCCAAGCGGCGCGGUGCUAGUGCGCAAGCGAUUUCAUUUAUUUCCUGUAUCUGAUACCUACAUGUUGUGAUAUAUGGAAGGCAGAAUGUUAUGUUUAUUGCAGAAAAAAAUUGUUUUGAACAAUUCGUUACGUACUAGGAGACGGCGGGAUAAAAAAAAAUUGUGACAAUUUGUUAAAUGGGUGGAGGGGGGAUUAAAUAUUGAACAAAUUUUGUGUUUCGUAGUUUAUGAAUGGUCCCUUAUUUAUUUAAUUAAAUAACUAUACAUAUAUUUACUUAUAUUUAUUUUAUUUUUUAUUUCUUUAAUUUGCAUAUGCGAA